UUGGUCACCGCGCCUGCGCUGUGGACCAAUCGCACCGUAGGAAAUAGGAAAAGCCGGUUCCGCGCUCGCCCGCGCCCCGCCUCCAUUAAGGCGGGGCUGGGUAGCCCGGGCGGUUAUGGGAGUUGUAGUUUUCUCCCGGGUGAACGAGAAGGGGCGUUGCCUUAGUAACUCAUAAAUCUCCUGGAGGGUGCUUCUCUUGUCCUCCUCUGUAAGCCAACUUUCAAUACUCCCCAGCACCUAGGAUGGACGCGUCCAGGCGCCAGGCGAAAGUUCGUACCCUCCCCAGGCUAGGUGAGAGGAUUCAGACAGUAAAUGAUUGCCGCUAAAGCAUGGGGACCUGAGUUCCAUCUCCUGUACCUGAUGGAGGGUGCCUGUAAGCCCAGCAGAGUAAGCAGAGACAAUGAAUGCCAAAAGACUGAGGAAGAGAUCUGAAGUCAACUUCUAUCCAACUUGAGUACACACAUGGAGUCCCCACAACUUCCUUCUACAUCCUGGGUUCUCGGGAGUUAUUGUAUAGCCUCACAAACAUCUGAAAUCCAGAGAAAUCAGUCACCCUCUUGCUUCUCCCAGAUCUCCUCACCCCGUUUGUUGCUUUUUGUCUUUAAUUUUUUGUCUAUUUAUUUAUUUCACGUGUAUUAGAGUUUUGCCUUCAUGUA